UACGUAGGGGGCAAGCGUUGUCCGGAAUCAUUGGGCGUAAAGAGCGUGUAGGCGGCCAGAUAAGUCCGCUGUGAAAUCUCGAGGCUCAACUUCGAGCUGUCGGUGGAAACUGUCUGGCUAGAGUCCGGAAGAGGAGAAUGGAAUUCCUGGUGUAGCGGUGAAAUGCGCAGAUAUCAGGAGGAACACCGGUGGCGAAGGCGGGUCUCUGGGCAGUAACUGACGCUCAUGCACGAAAGCGUGGGGAGCAAACAGG
rnacentral:rRNA from 1 species